rnacentral:tRNA from 1 species
CAAGCCCCCGUAGUGAAGAAUCACGUUGGAUUGCAAAUCCAGAAACGCAGACUAAGACCCGGCCGGGGCUU